rnacentral:lncRNA from 1 species
UUCGCCGAGAACACACAACCCAAACCUUUUUCCAAUUCUCCUCCUGUUAUUAUUCUCACUCACUCAGGGAAAGUUGGAGAACAACGUUUAGUAGCAGCUAGUAGUUGUGGACAUUCAUUCGGUGCCCCGUUCUCCCAGCCCCCUUUCCUAUUUUUUCCCCCCUUUCCCCCGUAAUUCUAAGAUCUUGUUACAAACGCUAGCCAUGGGAUUGUCUUUUCUUAAUAGUUUAUCACCGUUUAUUUGGGAUUAUUUGUUAAUGACGUUCCAGGUAGACUGAGGAUGACCCCACGGUGAUUUGUGUUGGGCAUGGAAUUUUUUUUCUAAGCAUUUUCGGACCUCUUUCAAUCUUAACAUUUCCCUCGGCUAGGACGACUAGUGUUGUUAGGUAUUAAAAAAAUGCUGGUAAUCCGAUGAUAGAUCAAAUCCGGAGAGUAAACUCCCCCUCCACCUCAUAAGGGACAGUUUCUCAUUCUCACACGUGCCUAAAGCAACGCGUGACCGAGCGUUGUCAUGUUGCAAAAUGACGAGGCUUGUUCCGUUUUUGUUCCAGUUCAUUGUAUACUGUGGUUAACUGUUGUUUGUUGGUAGUAGUAGUCUGGAGUUAUUGUUUGACCAGGUGGAAGCAACACUACAGAAAAGUAUGACAUUAAAUACGAAGGAAGUAAAUUCAUUCUGUUUUAAUGAUGAAUGCGAGACCACGAGGGAAGGAAGAUCAUUUACGCUUACUGUCUUUCGUCUCCAUUGCAGUCUCGUCGUGCCAGUUGAAACAAAAAUGAUCUACCAAUAAGAGGGAAUAGUAGAGACGAUUAUACUCCACCUACGUAACAUUCCAUUUGUUCAUAAAGCAUUAACGAUUUAUCCUGAUUCGUCACCGGCUCCACCGUGAAGAUAAUUACACGAUGUUUAGAUAAUCGAAAAGAAGGACAAUAAAAUUAAAGAAAAGUAAAUGCGUAUUUAAGAAGAUUUCUGCAAUAUUAUUAUAAACGCGUUGAUGAUUGUAAAGAAAAUAGUAUACAUCGAGAACGUUUCAUAAACAGAGAGAUAUGGUAUGGUAAACCCGUUGCGAAUGCACUAGCCAACUUUAAUACAAACGUCGGAUUACAGUUGACCCAGUUACCAAUGACCACCACCGAGCCCUUUUAGCCAACGAACUCCUUUACUUUCAUAGAAAAAUUCUAUACCACAGUUUGGUGGCGAGAUGAGAGCGAUCAAGGAACAGAACCUUGAAAAGACAAGUUAUACGAUAUGCUCGACGCAUAGUGAUUCAUAGUCGAUUGGUUUGACGUAAUCGUGCCUUAACUACCAAGAUCAGUAAUAUGGUAUACACUCGAUCACCAUGUUUUAACUUUAUUCCCGUUGACGCUUCCGCUCGUACAAUUAUAAAUGAAACAGAUAUAGUAAAUCGUUUUGCGAACGAUUAUGGCAAAUAAAACAUUUUUACAGAAAUAAUAUAAUAGAAAUUAAUGCGAAGUCUGUUAUUAAACCGUUACCGUAUAUAAGAGCUGUACUUUACUAUCUAGAUGUUUUAAAAUUA